UGCAACUUCUAUUAAAAGUUCAAAUACUCUCUAGCGGUAUUAAUUCAAGCCUUCAAGUCUCUUAGCAAACAAACAUUAAACACUGAAUGCCUGUUCAAUCUUAAACCCUAAACCCCUUUUUUGAAUUUCUGAUUGGUUUUUCAAAUUUCUAGCAUGUUGCUUAUUUCAAGAACAUUUAGAAAAAGCCAGAUUACUGGAACAAUUUCCUUUCUCUUGUUUUCUUCAAUUGCAAACUCAAAUGUCGACGGAAAAUCGUCACUUAUAAUUGGUGGAUCACACCUCCACAAAACUAUUGGAUUUGGUGGUAAAUUAUCUGGGAGAAAUAUUGCAUCAGUUGGUACUCGAAUGUGGCCGUUCUUCCCUAUCCUUGGCAGUUCCAGAGCUCCAUUUAGGCCGUUUGCAACUAACAGCUCUCCUGAUGAACUAGGUUUGACAAAUGAUCUUCUGAAUCAUAUUCUUUGCACUUUAGAAAAUACUGAUAUCUGCAAUAGGAAAAUAUGUAAUGGCAUUGAAAGGCUAUGUAGAUCUGGUAAUGUUUCAGCAAUUACUAAACUGUUGCAAUUUUCACACGAAAAACAUAUAUUUCUUGCGCCUGAUGCCUAUAAUAUUCUUUUGGCUGCUACUAGCGAAUGGCAGGAUGUUGAACUUUCGCUUGUAAUAUUUAAGGAAUUAUUGGUUUCCUCCAAAGGAAUGAGUUCAAAAUCUUAUUUCAAUCUUGCCAAGGCAUUUGCAAUCACAGAUGAUCACUCUAAGCUACUCAAUUUUGUCAGAGAAAUAUCUCAGCUGACAUCUCAUUGUGGUGCCCUGGUUUUAAACAGAAUGAUCUUUGCCUUUGCAGAGUGUAGGCAGAUUGAAAAAGCCUUAAAAAUUUAUGAUCAUAUGAAGGUUCUAGAAUGCAAGCCGGACUUGGUCACUUACAAUACAGUUAUUGGGUUGUUAGGUCGAGCUGGCCUGGUGGACGACAUGCUGCGGGAGUUUGCUUCUAUGAAGAAGGCUAAGAUAAUUCCAGAUAUAGUCACAUAUAAUACUCUGUUAAACCAUCUACAGAAAAUGGGAAGGUUAGAUCUCUGUUUAUUAUAUAUGAGAGAAGUGGAUGAGAAUGGUCUCAUCCCAGAUUUGAGAACUUAUACUGCAUUGAUUGAGAGCUUUGGUCGAUCAGGUAACAUUGAGGAAGCAUUGCGACUUUUUAGUGCUAUGAAGAGUAGGCAAGUCCGGCCCUCAAUCUACACAUACAGGUCAUUGAUUUGUAACUUAAAAAAAAUGGGGAUGUUGAGUGCUGCAGCUUCUCUUCUGGAUGAGAUGAAUCUUUCCUUGACAAAUCUAGUUGGUCCAAAGAAUUUUAAAAGAAAGAACAGAUGAGGGAUUUGGAAUUGUAUGCAAGCUGUUACACAACCCUGGUCUUGUGCUUGACAUUAAGGAUAUGUUGGAAUGUUGGAUGAGCUGCAGAAACAUUAGGAUGCAAUUGAUGUUGAAAAAGCUUCAUGGCACACAUAGUAGUAGUAGUAGUAUUGCUUGGAUGAAUGGUUUUUGGAAAGAUGUUCUAGCCUGUAGCUCCAAAUGGGUUCAUUUCUAGGUUCCGGUGGUUGAAUCAGACCAAAAUCUGGGUUACUGUAGAAAAUGGAAAGUAUAAGAUUUAAUUUAUCAACCAACAUUCACGAUCCUGGAAUGUUUUAAAUAUUAGAUAGAAAUUCGAAUGGGAAAGUGCUCAGGCUAAUCUUAGCUUGGAAUUAAGACGGGAUGAGGAAAAGGUUUUUCUAUAUUACUGUCAAUCAGGAUAUGCAUUUCUCUGCUGAUGCUGCUGCCGCUGUGGAACCCCUCAUAGGAAGGAUAUGUUUGACUUCUAUAAGUUGAUCUGGCACUUGGAAAUUCCACCAAAAUGGUGUACAUUCCUUUGGAAAUUAGCACAAAAUGGGAUUCACAAAUAUGUCUGCAAGGGGACGUGAUUGUAACUACUGUGGAGUGGUAGUGGAAGAUCCUCAACAUUUGUUUUUAUAAUGUUCCUAUGCUAAGUAUACCUGGAUUAACUUACCUACGGCUAUUAGCUUCAACAUUUCAGAAGUGGAUUCAGAAGUAUAUCCCGUAGCAACUUUGUGGAGUCUAUGGAUUACGAGGAACUAAAGAAUCUUUGAAGGGUGACGUGGUCAUAUCAGGACACUCAAUCUAUCAGGACACUCAAUCUAUCAGGACACUCAAGUUAUCAUGAACAUUUAAUCCAGGCUAAGAUAGGAUCAAAAAAUGUGAUGUUUGGAAACACCACAGGAUCCCCUUCUUGCACUUUACGCAUGGAUGGCUCCUAGCAUAAAGGGACAACAGGUAUGGAAUAGGAUAGACAGACAGACAGUUGCAGUUUCGGCAGGUGAGGUGAAGAGUUUGACGCCCUAGCCUGUAUCUCGGCACUAAGAGCUUGAGUUGCAGUCACACAAGAAUCCUAAUUUACAUUGAUUCUACCACGCUGUCUCCUUCAACAACAAAGACAUGGUAAUUUGGCACUCCACUGGACAAUAGUGGAAAAUUGACGCUUAAGAAUGCGCUUUGAAUGCUGAACAUCCUGAAAGUUGUUAGGGAACAAGUUCAUAUAGCUCACCAAUUAGCAAACCAAUGUCGUCUUUGUGUAACUGCCUUUUCAAUUAGUUUUAAUUUUUGAUUUUUGUUGAAAUCAACUGUUGUAGCCGACUCCACUUAUGGGAUUAAG